rnacentral:rRNA from 1 species
GAACGCUAGCGGCAGGCCUAAUACAUGCAAGCCGAACGGCAAGCUUUGUAGCAAUACGGAGCCUAGAGUGGCGUAAGGGUGCGUAACACGUAUGCAAUCUGCCCUCAACAGGAGGAUAGCUCCCCGAAAGGGGAAUUAAGACUCCAUAAGAUCACGCGAAGGCAUCUGAGAGUGAUUAAAGUACAAGCGGUUGAGGAUGAGCAUGCGCAUGAUUAGUUAGUUGGCGGGGUAACGGCCCACCAAAACGAUGAUCAUUAGGGGAACUGAGAGGUUGAUCCCCCACACUGGCACUGAGAUACGGGCCAGACUCCUACGGGAGGCAGCAGUAGGGAAUAUUGGACAAUGGGUGCAAGCCUGAUCCAGCCAUGCCGCGUGCAGGAAGACGGC